AACGCGAAGAACCUUACCUACUCUUGACAUCCAAAGAAAUUUUCAGAGAUGAAAAUGUGCCUUCGGGAACUUUGAGACAGGUGCUGCAUGGCUGUCGUCAGCUCGUGUUGUGAAAUGUUGGGUUAAGUCCCGUAACGAGCGUAACCCUUGUCCUUAUUUGCCAGUGCGUAAUGGCGGGAACUUUAAGGAGACUGCUGGUGAAAAACCGGAGGAAGGUGGGGACGACGUCAAGUCAUCAUGGCCUUUAUGAGUAGGGUUACACACGUGCUACAAUGGCGAAGACAAAGGGUCGCAAAACGGUAACGUGAAGCAAAUCCCAGAAAGAUUGUCUCAGUUCGGAUUGGAGUCUGCAACUCGACUCCAUAAAGUAGGAAUCGCUAGUAAUCGUGAAUCAGAAUGUCGCGGUGAAUACGUUCUCGGGUCUUGUACACACCG
rnacentral:rRNA from 1 species